GACAAUACGACUCUACUUUUUCAGUUAUAAUUAGGUUGGAUAUUUGAUUGGAUGGUGAGUUUUAUUGGGUGAAACCUUAAUGCUCAUGACUUAAUUGUUAAGUUUAACUGAGGUUGUGAAAUUUUGGAUAUAAACUAGGAUUAGAUACCCUAUUAUUCAAAAUGUGAAAAUUUUACUGGAAUAUUAUUAGUUAUGGUCUUUAAAGUCAAAAAUUUUGGCGGUAUCUUAGUCUAUUCAGAGGAACCUGUCCUGUAAUCGAUAGUCCACGAUUUAUUUUACUUUUAUUUUAAAUUUGUAUAUCGUCGUAGUUUGAAUUUUCUAGAAGGAUUUAAAUAUUCAAGAUAAGGAAAUAGCUUAAGAAAUCAGAUCAAGAUGCAGUUUAUAUAGAAGAAGAGAUGGGUUACGUUAAUGAUAUUUUGAGAUUCAUUCAUGAAAAGUUAGAUGAAUUUGGAUUUGAGGGUAAAUUUAAAAAAAUUUUUAAGUUGAUUUAGCUCUAAGAUAUGUACAUAUCGCCCGUCGCUUUCACUCCAAGGUGGAAUAAGUCGUAACAAAGUAGGCUUACCGGAAGGUGGGCCUAGAAUGGCAAAUUAGAGCUUGAUAUAAAGUUUUUUAUUUACAUUAAAAGGUUAGUUGUGAAAUUCAACUUGAUUUGAAUGGAAAGUUUUACUUUAAUUUUUAGUUUUUUGGUGAUUAAUAUGAGUAGGUUUUUGUUUAAUUAUUAGAUAGAAAGUAUAUUUUUUGUGAUAGUGAAUUAGUAUUGAGAAAGAUUAAUUUUAGAUUUUUAGAAGAAUAAAUAAUUUU
rnacentral:rRNA from 1 species